GACGAACGCUGGCGGCGUGCUUAACACAUGCAAGUCGAACGGAAAGGCCUCUUUCGGGGGGUACUCGAGUGGCGAACGGGUGAGUAACACGUGAGUAACCUGCCCUUGACUUUGGGAUAACUUCAGGAAACGGGGGCUAAUACCGGAUAGGAGCUCCUGCUGCAUGGUGGGGGUUGGAAAGUUUCGGCGGUUGGGGAUGGGCUCGGGGCUUAUCAGUUUGUGGGUGGGGUAGUGGCUUACCAAGGCGACGACCAGUAGCUGGUCUGAGAGGAUGAUCAGCCACAUUGGGACUGAGACACGGCCCGAACUCCUACGGGAGGCAGCAGUGGGGAAUCUUGCGCAAUGGGCGAAAGCCUGACGCAGCCAUGCCGCGUGAAUGAUGAAGGUCUUAGGAUUGUAAAAUUCUUUCACCGGGGACGAUAAUGACGGUACCCGGAGAAGAAGCCCCGGCUAACUUCGUG
rnacentral:rRNA from 1 species